UUUGACCUCGGAUCAGGUAGGGAUACCCGCUGAACUUAAGCAUAUCAAUAAGCGGAGGAAAAGAAACCAACAGGGAUUGCCUCAGUAACGGCGAGUGAAGCGGCAAGCCUCUCAAAUAAAA
rnacentral:rRNA from 1 species